rnacentral:rRNA from 1 species
AUGGGGGAGUACGCGGCGGUCAAGACGUCGGUGUGGUGGGACAUCGAGAACUGCGCCGUCCCGCGCAGCUGCGACCCCCAGCUCAUCGUCCAGAACAUGAGCUCCGCCCUCGCCACCGCCGGCUACCGCGGCCCCAUCUCCGUCUCCGCCUACGGGGACACCCACCAAAUCGCCCACAACGUCCAGCACGCCCUCUCCAGCACCGGCGUCUCCCUCCACCACGUCCCCGCCGCGAAUGCAGGCAUUAAAGAUGCAAGUGAUAAGAAGAUCUUGGUUGACAUGCUGUUCUGGGCUAUUGACAAUCCUCCACCAGCAAAUUAUCUGCUUAUCUCUGGUGACCGGGACUUCUCUCAUGCCAUUCAUAAGCUUAAAAUGAGGCGAUACAAUAUUUUAUUGGCACAACCUCCAAACGUGUCUCAAACACUUACUGCUGCAGCAAAGAGUGUUUGGCUCUGGAAAAGCCUUGUGGCUGGAGAACCACCAUUAGAACAGUCACCAUACAUAAGCAGCACAUCUUGUGGCAAUAAGGAUGAUUUGGCUACAUCAAGGAACAUUAGUUCUUUGGAUGUGACUCAAGAUGCCAACCCUGAAGUGCAGAAUAUUUUGUGUGAUCGUCAAAGCGGUUCUAACGGCAUGGCAGAUAAGAAACGUGAAGUUAAGCGACCUCGAGAAAUGGAGACAGACAAUGUGUCCAAACCAGCAAGCAAAAAGCAGCUGAAGAAGAUGAUUUGGCUGGCAAAUACCAGCACUAAGCAAACUGCUUUCAAGAAACCAAUGCAAGGGCAACUAAAAGCAGUCAAGGGGCAGGGCUUGAUCUGCUAUAAGUGUGGUGAUGGGCACCGUGCUGCAGAGUGCACCUUUAGUGGUGACUGCCACGGUUGUGGCCGACAGGGCCACAAGGAUCGAGUGUGCAAAGCAAAUCCUGACAGCAUUGUCAAGUGGCAGCUGGCACAUUCACAAGACUUAGUCAUGCCCUCACCAGGGUCUGUCUCCUGGCAGGCGAUCCCUCAUGUGCCUUCUCCACCUCCAGCUUCCCCCGUUGUGGCUGCGUCGCCACAGACAGCUGCUGAAACUCCUUCUGGCCCAACUUCGACACCACCACCGGAGUGCUUCUUGCAGGAGAGUUCUGACGUGUCAACCCCACCUCCGGCUUCUGCGGCUCUUGUACCGCCACAUACUGGUGUUGGCGAUUUUUCUGCCCCAGCUCACUCUGGAGUCUAUGCCAUGCCGACAGCUGUGUCAUUGGGUAAACCAGACGUGGUGACGCAACCGACAUCUUCAGCCCCUCAUCCUCCUACGGCGGUUCUAGCUCACCGGCCAAUGACAGGACCAGGACAGUAUCAUCAAGUGGGUGCUUCUCGCCUGUUUCCAGCUUGGACACCACCACCAUGGUGCUUCUUGCAGGCGACUCCUGCUGUGCUAAGUCCACCUCCAGCUCCUGUGCCGCCACAUACGGGUGAUGGAAAAUUUUCUGCCCCAGCUCACUCUGGAGUCCACACCAUGUCAACAGCUGUGUCAUUGGGUAAAGCAGACGUGAUGACGCAACAGGCAUCUUCAGCCCCUCAUCCUUCUACGGCAGUUCUAGCAGCUCACCAAUCAGUCACAGGACAGUAUCAUCAAGUGGGUGCUUCUCAGCUGCAACCGGCAUCUUCAGUCCCUCGUCCUCGUACGGCAAUUCUAGCUCACCAACCAGUCGCAGGACAGUAUCAUCAAGUGGGUGCUUCUCAGCUGCAUCUGGCAUCUUCAGCCCCUCAUCCUCCUACAGCGGUUCUAGCUCACCAACCAGUCGCAGGACAGUAUCAUCAAGUGGGUGCUUCUCAGCUGCAUCCAGCUUUGACAUUUCCUCCGGGGUACUUCUGGCAGGCAAUGCAACUUCUCCUGCAGCAGCGCCGCUCGUGA